GGCUCAGAUUGAACGCUGGCGGCAUGCCUUACACAUGCAAGUCGAACGGCAGCACAGGAGCAAUCCUGGUGGCGAGUGGCGAACGGGUGAGUAAUAUAUCGGGAACGUGCCCAAUCGUGGGGGAUAACGCAGCGAAAGCUGUGCUAAUACCGCAUACGCCCUGAGGGGGAAAGCGGGGGAUCGAAAGACCUCGCGCGAUUAGAGCGGCCGAUGCCUGAUUAGCUUGUUGGUGGGGUAAAAGCCCACCAAGGCGACGAUCAGUAGCUGGUCUGAGAGGACGAUCAGCCACACUGGGACUGAGACACGGCCCAGACUCCUACGGGAGGCAGCAGUGGGGAAUUUUGGACAAUGGGGGGAAACCUGAUCCAGCAAUGCCGCGUGAGUGAAGAAGGCCUUCGGGUUGUAAAGCUCUUUUGUCAGGGAAGAAACACCGGCUCUAACACAGUCCGGGAAUGACGGUACCUGAAGAAUAAGCACCGGCUAACUACGUG
rnacentral:rRNA from 1 species